rnacentral:ncRNA from 1 species
AUUUAUGCAAUAAAAAGAAGAGUACAAUUAGUUUUUUCUUUUAAAGAGAGCCUCGGUUGGUGAAAAGGGGUAAGGGAAGAUAGUUGGAAGAUGGUCUUUUUCGCAUUCAACUGUGAGUUCGAAGAAUAAGCAGUUGACGGGAGUGCCCGUUAUAGUGACGCGGUCUGAUCUUGAGUUAAAGAUUGUACUGGCAGAGUUUCUAUGUUGUGAGACAUAGAAUAAAUGAAGGUGGUUACACGAGUUCAUUCGUCCUUCCA